ensembl:lncRNA
ACACAUAUUGAACAUCUACAGGUAUCCUGGCAGAGUGCUUUACGAAUGCCAUUUUAUUUAAGCCUUAUGAGACUGGCAAUAUUGUCACCACUUUGCAGGUGAAGAAACAGACUCAAAAAGGUUAAAUAACUUUUCCAUGGUUAUACUCCAUUAAAAGAUAGUUUCAGGUCUUUCAUCACAAAAUGUCUUUCAAUGUCCUGGAACCAUAAGUCCUAUCACCUAGGAUAUGCCAAUAGCACUUUCUACCUAAAAGUCAGUCACUAACAGCAACUCCAAGGCACGAUUUGUAGAAAACUACCUUAUCUAUUUUCCAUGAGGAAACCUCAAAGACCAGGAUAUAAACCUUGUAUAUAGUGUAGUACCCAAAAAAAUAAGAAGAAAAGAAAGCUCACAAUAAAUAAGAAAACCAGGAUUAUAAUUCUGAUGCUGCAACUAAUUAGGCCUAGGAGCUUGGCAUGCCUCUUAGUGCCUAUGAGUCAAGUUUCCUGAUCUGCAAACUGGGUGUUAUUUAUUUAUUUUUUUUUGAGGAAGGUUAGCCCUGAGCUAACAUCUGCCGCCAAUCCUCCUCUUCUCACUGAGGAAGACUGACCCUGAGCUAACAUCCAUGCCCAUCUUCCUCUACUUUAUAUGUGGGACGCCAACCACAGCAUGACGUACCAAGCAGUGCCAUGUCUGCACCCAGGAUCCGAACCGGCGAAUCCCAGGCCGUCAAAGCGGAACGUGCGCACUUAACUGCUGCGCCACCGGCCGGCCCAGGGUGUUAGAAUUUAAGUCUAGCUCAUGUACGCGUGAAAGUGCUUUGAAAAGAGAAACGAUAUACACAUAAAAGAAAUUAUUAAGUUUCUUUAUUGUAAACGUAUUUGCCAAAAGCAAAAUGCCCUAGUGAAUGAUGGGUUCAGUUUCUGAGGUUUGGAAUAUUCAAACACACACAACUAUUGGAGUGAUAAAUAAUUGGAGACUUCUCUCCGUUGGUUAAACAGAGUACUUUUGCCCUUCCGUCUUUUUCAUCCUUGAACUUUAAAGACUAUCCAGAGGGGAUAAGGAGAUGUUUACGCUACUGCCAAGUGAGAUAAACUAUGGGCGUUUCUUCUUUUUAGGCACUAAAAAAAGAACAAUUAUUUCUAGAAACUAAAAAAAAGACAGAGAGAAGGAAAGGAAGGAAGAAUGGACGGCAGGACACCAGCACAGCAUGGCUUGAUGAGGGGUGUGUAGGCCUGCCCCCGGGGAUCCAAACCUGGUAACACCAGGCCGCAGCAGAGAGUACAAACUUAACUGCCACGCGUCACCGGGUCAGCCCCAAUAGGAAAGUAUUUUGAUCUGCGAUUUGUCUUGCUAAAUCUUUGAAACUUCGUAAAUUUAGGGUCAAAGGCAAAAGGUAGAAGUUUUAAAAUAAUAACUCAUUAAUCUGUAAGCGCCGUAGCGUUUGGGAAUACUUCUUUUAUAUUUUUAUCUAAAGGUACUCAUUCAGUGUUUAUUAUGUGCCACGAACUGGUUUUAACUGAUUUGCAUCUAUUCUUUCACUUAAUUCUCACAGACUCUAAAGUAAAGCGUCUCUAUUCCCAUUUUAGAGGUGAGAAAACUAAGGUUCAAUCUCUUAAGCACUGCACAGCCUCCUUGGACCCUGAUGUGUAGUGGAUACUCUGCUUGAUAGUUGAGUGAAUAAAUUGCCCUGUUACACGUGCAGGGUAUUUUCAGUUUACACAUCCUUUUCACCUACUACAUCUUGUUUUAUCCUCUUUUCAGGCAAUGGAAUCAUUAUUUUCUUCUUCUGUUCCAAAUUAGGAGGGACCUUGUUGCCCUUAGGUACAACUAAGUGCCUUAAAUAUUGAUGGUUUUGAACAGAGGAAGAAGGGCUUUCCAGUUCAGCCGUUCUGAUUGGUAAAGCCUUCCAAAGCGGGGAGGGAGAGACUGGCAGGAGCGUGCCCAAUUCUAAAUAGCCCAAACCUGCAGCUUACUCUGCUCUAUUUCUUGCGAAGAGUGGAAAGCCAAAUGACAAGACAAAAGAUGAAAGUCAGUUUUGAUGUCAAAGUCUGCUUCAGUGUCCUUUGUAAUCUUGUCAUAGAUCAUUUAUAUUAACCUAAUAUAAUUACUUUAAUAGUGAUGUGUAUUAUAAAUAGACUAAUCGUCCUGAACGCAAACUGUAGAAAUUAAACAAAUUAAGUGUUUAGCUCACAGUGUGUUUUUUCCCCCUUCUCUUCUCCUUCCUUCUUCUCCGUCUCCUUCUGUGUCUCUUCCUGAACACAGGCAGCCGGAGAUUCAGGCCCCCAGAUUUCUCUCUGCAGAGUGUACUUUACCUUUUGGAUGGGACUUUAAAGACUUUAAACAGCUUGAGACUUAUAGUUUGCCACAGGAGCAUGUAGCAAAUUCCUGUUUCUACUUUUUGAACCAGGAGCUGGAGUCUAAGAGCCCCGCGCAGGAAGUCGCAGGUGGUGGGAAAGGGGAAACAAGGUCAUUUUCAACCAUGUACAUUGAGGUUGUACCUUUAAAGUCAAUUCUAAAUUUAAUUGAAAGCCGAGGGCAGAGAAGCCAAGAUCGGAGCAAUGUGGUGAUUUAUUCUGAAGCCUGUAAGAAGUCAUGCGGCUGAAUGUGGGAUGAGCUGGGGCUUUAAUAAAAAUGGCACUGGGGAAGCCAGCGGGAAGAGGCACAAGAAUGGAACUGGGUUAGAUGAAGGGUCUUGAGGCCUGAAAGGGAGCGGGGGUCUGAGGGAGCAGUGUUUGCCCAAACUCUGCUGUUUUUACCAUGGUGGAUGCACAUAAGUAAUCCGCAUCAAAAGGAAAAACCAGGAUCAGACGGAAGCCACGAAGACUCUUUAGACAGUGAAUUUUGCAUGAAAUCAUUAAGGUGUCCAAAUUGCAGAAAGGCUAUGGAAUGAAUGGCAAUGAGAACUCAUCUAAUAUUAUUUCUAGCUGAAAUUUAGCUGAAGAAAAAUGACAUGUUCCUUUAUUAAAACACUACAGGACUUGACAGCAAAGCUCCCACACAUUUCUAUGGGUGUUAUUGUCAACUAAAUUAUAUUGGACCAUUGCUACAGAAAAUCCAUAACGUGUUCUCAGAAUCAAAUCUUCUCUGUUGACAAAUGGUUUAGGAACAAUUUUUCCAAGCUAAAAAAAAAAAGAGAAAGAAAGAAAGAAAUAGAAAGCUUGUUAGCAGAUGUUAUACUAGAAAGAGAACUGGGCUGGAAAUUGUACGUCCUGGGUUCUAGGCUCUCUGACCUGGGGGAGGAGCUGGCUGUCCCUCCAGUGGUGGGGACCACAUGAUCUGUCCUCCUGAUGCUGAUUUUUAUAGGUUCUCUUCUUUAGAUCAACUUCACAUCAUAUUCGGCAUCUCUGUUAUUCUUAUUAAUUUUAAUAUUAUUACAAACAUUACAUGUUCAUUGCAGAAAACUCAGACAAUGCAAAAAAGGAUCAAGAUGAAAAUAAACAUUACUUGUAAUCUCACCAUCCAGAGAUAACCACUGUUGACAUUUUGCUCAAUAUCACUCUGAUUAAGAUAACAUUCAAAGGGCCAGGAAGGUUUUACCUCAGAGAACCAGGCACCAGUUGAAGAAUAAUUGCCACAUUCAGAAGGUCGAGGUGGUAGUGGUGACUCUUUCAAAAAUCUUUGAGUAAGUCUUUCCCUCGUUUCUCUCUCUUCUUUCUAGUUGCCUGGUUCGUGGUAUCAAGAUCUGUGCCGUCCAGAGGAAACGACACGUGAGCCUCCAUCCGGAUUCUGUGACUCACGUGCUUGUGACCACCAACUUCUGGUCACCCACCAAGUUUCAAAUAAUUUCCUAGAGCAGUUUAAAUAUUUAUUUGUGUGUGUGUCUGUGCUUUUUUGUAAUAUUUGGAUAAGGAAUAAUAGCAAUAAUGGAAACCUAAAAAUAAUUGAUGUGAUGGGGUACUGGACUGAUGAACAGACUUGUCUCUAAUUUCCUUUAUUCUUGUUACGAUAAUUGUGCAACAAAUGAAAAUAGUAAGGAAAACAGGUGACAGUGGAGAGUGGUGAAUGAGGAGGAAGGAGAGGGCAUGAGCCCGUUUUAGGAACAAGCAGUUCUCUAUAUGGCGGGCUCUCAGCUGUCCAGGUUCAAAAAACUCACAAUAAAAUGCUUUUGCAUUCAAGUUUACUAGAUUUGGAAGUAAAAGCCCUGUUCCAACCCCACUGCUUCCUGCUUCUUAGUUUCCCUGAGCUUCCAUCUCCUCCUCCACGAAUGGGGUCAUAACCUGCUCUUACCUAAUUUAUUUUGCAAAGAUGGAAAAGGAAAGUUCAAAUGAGGUAAUUAUGUGAAGAAAAAUGUUAUUUUAGGAUCCCGAGACUUUGUGUUUUUCAAUUAAUUAUAUUUGACGAUUGGAAUUACUUGGACUAGACAUAGAAUUUCCCAGUUGCUAGGGGGAGCUUGAUGUCAUGAUGAUGUUGGUCUGUUACAGCUGAUGGUGGUUAAUUUCUCUCUUUCAGGGAGUCAGCAAAGCCAUGGAAAUUUAGGCAUGGAUUUUGGAGUCAGAUAUGAUGUGUGUUUGGGAGGCCUCGGACCAUUAACUCAGGCUCCCUGAGCCUGUUUCCUGUUCUGUAAAACGGGGAUAGUAAAGCCUACCUUGCAGGGCUGCUAAAAAAUUGGGAAUAAUGUGUGUAAAGCACCAGACAUUGAGUUGGCCACGCAGUGAGCCCCGAAUCUACGGUGGCUGUUAUUGUUAUAAGAGCAUCAAUUUUUAAAUAUUCUCCCUCGUCUCCCCGCUCCCACAGUUCAUUCAUAAAAGCACAGGCUCCUGAUCCACUGUUCUUCCAGUCCUUGGGAGAAUUUUCUAACUCAGUACACUAGGAGCAAGGCCAAUAUCUUAGAUGAUUCUGUUCUAGAAAGGUGCUUAAACACAGUCAAGAUAUAGCGUAGUUUUACCAAGAAAGCGGGACUUUGCUAUAAACUAUCACCCUGGAGACAAGACUGAAAAAAAACAAAUCAAGGCCACGUGCCUACCCACAGCAGGAGAAAUAUACAAAGUCAAGAUUUCUGUCAGCAUAUUAUGCUUCUGGUUGUUUACAUAAAAACAUGUCUUGGACAGUAAUUAUGCAUUUUUCAGAACUGGGCCAGCUCUGGGAAUGCAAAGCUGAGAGGCAGCAGUCACUGCGGUUACUUUCAGUUUCAACUGUCAGGUUGGGAGUCAGAGGGGCAUGGGUUUGAACGCUAGUUUAGCACCAUAAGUGACCACUGGUCCACUGCUUACUAGCUAAGUGACGUGGUGCAAGCUGAUCAGUCUCUCAGAAAAUCAGUUUUUACAUUGGGAGUUGGAUAAAAACCAAGUGUCUGCUGCAGAGACAAAAGAAUGAAUUUGGAAAAUGAAUUAAAGGGCCUGGGUCUGGCACAUGAUAGGUGUAGGUGUUUAGAAGAUGGUAAUAGUGGUUGCUAUUAGCAGCGAUGAGAUGAAGUCUUCAUCUUGGAGGAAUGCUCGGCAUAGCAGCAGAAAAAAUGUACGCGAAUAAAGUCCUGAAUAAAUUCAAAGUAUGUGUUCACAGUGCUUCAGUAUUAUGAAAGCAGAAAGGGUGAAGCCCAUGUGACGAGGAAAGAUCGAAGGGGGCUUCAAAGAGAAACAUUUGAGCCUCACCUUGAAAGAUGGGUAGAAAUUCUCCAAGAGGAAAGGGAGAGAAGAAGCACAAGGUGGCACAAGGGUACAGAGGAUGAGGCUUGGGCAGGGAUGUUGUCCUGUGUCUUGAGUUAGCAGUGUCACAUGGUUAAGAAUGGUGGGAGAUGAGGUGGAAAGCCAGUGCUGCUCCAGGCUGGAAAUGGCUUUGUACACCCAAAUGCCACUGACCUUGGUUUCUUGAGCAAGAGACAGCCAAUGAAGUUGUGCUGGGCGUCCUCCAUUUGCUCCUCCAGUCAGCCUUCACUUACCUCCAUUUGCUCCUGAACUAGGGGGCUGAGCUGUUGCGGACCACAUCAACGAGCUCCCUCCCGCUCAGGCUUCCAGUAGGUUUUGGCCAACGGAACACAGGGAAGAAAUCAAAAGGAAGACUGAGACUGGGGUAUAUAUUCUUUUGACAAAAGAUCACAGCAUCCAUCAGGCCGCCUUCCCACACAGCUCUCUCUUCCUGGGAUCCAUGAGCCUCUCUCCCAAGGUCUCCCACAGAGAGGUGGUGAAUGCACCUCACCGGUACUGGUACCAAGUAUGGAACCAUCAUAAGAGAUGGUUUACAAAUAGUCCUUUUAUUACCUCUUCUUAAAUUACCCAAUUUGAAGUACCAAACGUUUCCUGCCAGGCCCCUGACUGAUAUAUAACUUAAAUAGGGAAUAAAGUCAAUGUGUUUCUGGGGGAGGGCUAGGGCAGAGAGACCAUGGCACUAACACCAGAAGACAUGAAGUCACAGGCCAUACAAUUUAUGUAAAGAACAAUGGUUUGUCUGUUCCUUUGUGGCUGCUAGUCUGGAACCACAUGGAGACAUGGCGUGGCUUCUUGGAGAGUGUCCUCAGCCUGGUCUCUAAGUGAGCCACUCAUGACGAGAUUGAAGGGUGACCCUGUGAAAUGCUGUUACCCAUCUCCAUGAGUGGACUGACUUCAAGAGGAAGGCCUUGAAAUAAGCCGUCUCAUGUCAAAUUGUUCUUCUUAUUAGGAUAGCUACAGAAGAUGGACAAAAGGUGGAAGUGUUGUGAGUGACUGAUGCGGCCAACUUAAGAAGAAAAGUCCCCUUUUCUAGGCCUGUUUUUCCUUUGCAAGGAACCAACAGAGUUUCUCUUCUCCACCUCGGCCCUUCAUCUUACCCCAGGAAGGUAGGAACCGGCUACUCCCUCUCUUCCCACUGCUGUCCAUCCUGUGCUCUGGGAAGCACAGUUACUUUUUAUGGCUCUCCCCAGGGAGUUUGAAUUUUGAGCCUCAGCUUUAAUUAUGUAAUGAAAACAUAUGUUUCCUAUUGCAAGAAUUUUAGACAGCAGUGAGGAGGAGGGAGAGAUGGGGUGAGGCUGUGAGGGGAGAGAGGACUAAGUGACUUCCACUGAGCAGUAAUUACAGCGGAGAGUAGAAGACCAUUCGCAGACCUGCGAGGCCGAGCUGGAAGCAUUUCAUUCAAUAAUCAUUUAGCAUUGAGAGCUGUGUAUGCAGGGCACUGCCGAGCUUUGGGGAAAUACAAAGUGGAGUGGAGGGGGGAUAGUGUGAGAAGAGGGAUGAGACCUGUACACACAUGUGUGAGUAGGUGAAGGAACUAGGAUGCGGGUUUAGAAGACGAGAUGAGAUCAGGUUGCAGGAACUUGAUUAUAGAGACAGUAUUUGAAUCAGGUCUUGAAAGACGGGUAGACAUGGAAGUAGCAGGGGUUUUCUGGGCAGCCUUCCCCAUCCUUGCCACUUCCCUUGCCCUGCUCCCCCAAAGCAAUGAACCUGCUUCAUUGUGUUUAGAGAACAAGUUCAAAUAUUUGAUGAGUAAGUAUUACAUAGAUAAAAUUUAACCAGGAUAUGCUUCAGGGUGGUCUAUGACAAAUCAUAUUUUGCGUAGGCUUCUUCGCCUCAACCACACCAGCGGUAAAUAAAUAUUUGCUUCUAAUUACAGAAUUAAUACACAAAUAGUUUUUGAUCAUAAAAAGAUUCAAGCAUUAUAGGCAUAACAGAAGUUCUCUUUGAAAUCACCACCCCCAAACCCAUAUUUACUUCUAGAAGUAUAUUGUUCUGUGUGUGGGUCUGUGGUUACGUAAUGGUAUCGUACUGUGUGUUCGUGCUACAGUCUGCAUUUAUUACUCAAUAUAUCUUGGAGCUCAUUCUAAGUGGCUUCACAGAGAUCUACCCUCAUUCUUUGUAAUCCUACCUACAUUUGUUUGUUUCUCGGGAUAGUUUUGGAAACACUUUCCAUAACUCUUUUGGAAACUUUCCUUACAAUAAGAAUCACCCAGAAACAUUCAGAGCCCUCCCCAAGACUGGUUUUCCAUAGGAUUGGGAAGAAGGUUGGAGAAAUUAUUUGCAGCCAACAUCCCAGCAACCUGGAGCCCCUGAAAUGGUCGUGACUGCCCCAACGAUCAAAACUUCUGUGGACAGCUGUGAAAGCAAAAGAGAAGACUGACCUGAGAAGGACAUUUUGUCCCCUGACUGUUGGUACAGAAUACCUGAGGCAGGAUGUGUGUGUCCAGAGGACACAGCCUGCCAUGUCUGAGGCUAUCCUUCUGCCUAGCAGCCCGGGUUGUGGGGUAAGAGCUGAGGCUGGAUUGGAGAAAUUAGAAUACACUAUAUCUUUUUUCCUUUUGACAGUGCAACCUCUUCCUAGGGAAGGCUCAAAAACCUUGGAUAUCAUAUCAUUCCACAAAAGGAAAGUUUGCUGAGUUUGUUUUUAAUAUAUCAGAAACAUAUGUAUUAAAUUCCGUUAAAAUGCAGAGAACUUUUUAGUAUCAUAGAACUUAGUAAAUAUUUUCCACUUUAAAGUUGUGUCCUUUGACAAGUCAGAGAACACGUCUUUGGUUUCUGUCCCGUAUAUGAGAUAAAUACCACAAAUGUGUUUUGGAAAAGAAAGCAAAUUUAAAAAAGGAAAUAAAGCAAGCCAAAGACCCAUCACAAUUACUACAACAGAAUGAAGAACAAUUGGGUGUAGCAAGAAGGAACUCUUCCUUAGAUCCUAGUAGAUGUGCCGUGGGUAUGGUAAAAGCAUAACGAAACUAGCAAUUUCCACUGGACACUGUGGAGGGGAUGGGGAGAGAAACGGAGAGGGAGGAUGGUGCCUGCUGACUGGAAAGGCCUUACUCCUGCCCUUGGGUUAAGGCUUCCUGGGAGGCCUUCACAUACCACCAAGGAGUUCCAUCCAGGGAUUAUCCAGUUUCCCAUGAUGAUGUUUAAUUUGGGGGUUUUCUCAAUUUUUGAGCCUGAGUCUCUGUUUAUGACUGAGUUCGUGCCAAAUUGUGUUACUUUCCCUGUACCUGGCUAACAGGAGAAGAUCGUUAGUAGACCUGACACAUAAGAGACACGCUGGUAGCAUGCAAAGGCCGAGGAGUUGCACAGGCAGCUGUGGAAGGAGGAUUCACAGAGAAGCAGUAAGAAAUUGGGUCAUCAACCAGCACUCAGUGGCUUGGGCAUGGGGACCCACGAGAACCUGCUGUAGCCUAUGCUCUUGAAGAGCUGAGAUUCAGUUUCAGCAAAACGUCACCAGCUGUCACAUUACGUUAGUGUUCAUUUGAAUUGCACUGGUUUUGUGAUUUCGUUUUCAUUUAAAGUUAUUCUUACUUUAUUGUUGCCUAAGUUGUAUGUAUAUAAGGAGCUAAUAUAUAAAAAUCAUAUUAUAGUAUUUAAACGACAUAAUAAAAAUAGUCUAAGUCAACACUGGA